CGCAGCCGCGGUAAUUCCAGCUCCAAUAGCGUAUAUUAAAGUUGUUGCAGUUAAAAAGCUCGUAGUUGAAUUUCGGGAUUAAUAUGUUAGUCGUGCCUUGGUACGUACUGGCAUUAUUGAUUCCUACCUUCUGAAGAACCUCGAUGUCAUUAAUUUGGUGUCUUGGGGAAUCAGGACCGUUACUUUGAAAAAUUAGAGUGUUUAAAGCAGGCUCGCGCUUGAAUACAUUAGCAUGGAAUAAUGAAAUAGGACGUUUGAUUCUAUUUUGUUGGUUUCUAGGAUCGACGUAAUGAUUAAUAGGGAUAGUUGGGGGCAUUAGUAUUCAAUUGUCAGAGGUGAAAUUCUUGGAUUUAUUGAAGACUGACUACUGCGAAAGCAUUUGCCAAGGAUGUUUUCAUUAAUCAAGAACGAAAGUUAGGGAUCGAAGACGAUCAGAUACCGUCGUAGUCUUAACCAUAAACUAUGCCGACUAGGGAUCGGGAUGAUGUUAAUUUUUUAAUGUACUCAUUCGGCGCCUUAC
rnacentral:misc_RNA from 1 species